rnacentral:rRNA from 1 species
CACGUAGGCACCAAGCGUUGUCCGGAUUUAUUGGGCGUAAAGAGCUCGUAGGCGGUUGAGUAAGUCGGGUGUGAAAACUCUGGGCUUAACCCAGAGCCGCCACCCGAUACUGCUCUGACUUGAGUUCGGUAGGGGAGCAGGGAAUUCCUAGUGUAGCGGUGAAAUGCGCAGAUAUUAGGAGGAACACCAGCGGCGAAGGCGGCGCUCUGGGCCGGUACUGACGCUGAGGAGCGAAAGCGUGGGGAUCAAACAGG